rnacentral:rRNA from 1 species
CAGAAAAGCAUCGGCGCGAGGUGUGGUGUUGCCCGUACCCAUAACCGACACAGGUAGUCAGGUAGAGAAUACUAAGGCGAUCGAGAGAAUCAUAGUUAAGGAACUCGGCAAAAUGCCCCCGUAACUUCGGAAGAAGGGGGGCCUGGACCUUGACACCAACUUGCUUGGUGGAGGGGAUAAGGGCCGCAGAGACUAGGGGGAGGCGACUGUUUAUCAAAAACACAGGUGCAUGCGAAGUCGUAAGACGAUGUAUAUGCACUGACUCCUGCCCGGUGCUGGAAGGUUAAGCGGAUCUGUUAGUCCUUUGUGGGCGAAGCGGAAAAGUUAAGCCCCAGUAAACGGCGGUGGUAACGAUAACCAUCCUAAGGUAGCGAAAUUCCUUGUCGGGUAAGUUCCGACCUGCACGAAUGGAGCAACGACCUCUCCGCUGUCUCUACUAUGAACUCGGCGAAAUUGCAUUACGAGUAAAGAUGCUCGUUACGCGCAGAAGGACGGAAAGACCCCGGAACCUUUACUAUAGUUUGGUAUUGGUGUUCGGUGUGGCUUGUGUAGAAUAGGUGGGAGACUGUGAAGCGAUCACGCUAGUGGUUGUGGAGUCGUCCUGUGAAAUACCACUCUGGUCAUAGUGAACAUCUAACUUCGGACCAUGAUCUGGUUCAGGGACAGUGCCUGAUGGGUAGUUUAACUGGGGCGGUUGCCUCCUAAAUGGUAACGGAGGCGCCCAAAGGUUCCCUCAGCCUGGUUGGUAAUCAGGUGUUGAGUGUAAGUGCACAAGGGAGCUUGACUGUGAGACAGGCAUGUCGAGCAGGAACGAAAGUUGGGACUAGUGAUCCGGCGACUCGUUGUGGAACGGUCGUCGCUCAACGUAUAAAAGGUACUCCGGGGAUAACAGGCUGAUCUUGCCCAAGAGUUCAUAUCGACGGCAUGGUUUGGCACCUCGAUGUCGGCUCGUCGCAUCCUGGGGCUGGAGUAGGUCCCAAGGGUUGGGCUGUUCGCCCAUUAAAGCGGUACGCGAGCUGGGUUCAGAACGUCGUGAGACAGUUCGGUCCCUAUCCUCUGCGCGCGUUGGAGAAUUGAGAAGGUCUGUCCUUAGUACGAGAGGACCGGGACGGACGAACCUCUGGUAUGUCAGUUGUACCGCCAGGUGCAUGGCUGAUUAGCUACGUUCGGAAUGGAUAACCGCUGAAAGCAUCUAAGCGGGAAGCCGGCUUCGAGAUGAGUUCUCCUUGAGGUUCCCAGUAGACUACUGGGUUGAUAGGCCGGAUGUGGAAGCACAGACU